UGGGGAAUAUUGGACAAUGGGGGGAACCCUGAUCCAGCCAUGCCGCGUGUGUGAAGAAGGCCUUAUGGUUGUAAAGCACUUUAAGCGAGGAGGAGGGUACUGGUAUUAAUACUACCAGGUACUGGACGUUACUCGCAGAACAAGCACCGGCUAACUCUGUGCCAGCAGCCGCGGUAAUACAGAGGGUGCGAGCGUUAAUCGAAUUUACUGGGCGUAAAGCGUGCGUAGGCGGCUAAUUGAGUCGGAUGUGAAAUCCCCGAGCUUAACUUGGGAAUUGCAUUCGAUACUGGUUAGAUAGAGUGUGGGAGAGGAUGGUAGAAUUCCAGGUGUAGCGGUGAAAUGCGUAGAGAUCUGGGGGAAUACAGAUGGCGAAGGCAGCCAUCUGGCCUAACACUGACGCUGAGGUACGAAAGCAUGGGGAGCAAACAGG
rnacentral:rRNA from 1 species